UACGGAGGGGGCGAGCGUUAUUCGGAAUUAUUGGGCGUAAAGGGCGCGUAGGCGGCCCGGUAAGUCAAAGGUGAAAUCCCUCGGCUCAACUGAGGAACUGCCUUUGAAACUGCUGGGCUUGAGUCCGGGAGGGGGUAGCGGAAUUCCCAGUGUAGCGGUGAAAUGCGUAGAUAUUGGGAGGAACACCGGUGGCGAAGGCGGCAUCCUGGACCGGCAUUGACGCUGAGGCGCGAAAGCCAGGGGAGCAAACGGG
rnacentral:rRNA from 1 species